rnacentral:piRNA from 1 species
UGAAGCUUGUUUAUAUGGGAAUGGU